rnacentral:rRNA from 1 species
AGAGAUGGAUUGGUGCCUUCGGGAACGUCUGACACAGGUGCUGCAUGGCUGUCGUCAGCUCGUGUCGUGAGGAUGUUGGGUUAAGUCCCGUAACGAGCGCAACCCUUGUCCUUAGUUACCAGCACGUUAUGGUGGGCACUCUAAGGAGACUGCCGGUGACAACCGGAGGAAGGUGGGGAUGACGUCAAGUCAUCAUGGCCCUUACGGCCUGGGCUACACACGUGCUACAAUGGUCGGUACAAAGGGUUGCCAAGCCGCGAGGUGGAGCUAAUCCCAUAAAACCGAUCGUAGUCCGGAUCGCAGUCUGCAACUCGACUGCGUGAAGUCGGAAUCGCUAGUAAUCGUGAAUCAGAAUGUCACGGUGAAUACGUUCCCGGGCCUU